rnacentral:rRNA from 1 species
AUUGAACGCUGGCGGCAGGCCUAACACAUGCAAGUCGAGCGGUUGAGGUAGCUUGCUACCGAAGCAGCGGCGAACGGGUGAGUAAUACAUGGGAAUCUGCCUGGUAGUGGGGGACAACGUUUCGAAAGGAACGCUAAUACCGCAUACGCCCUACGGGGGAAAGGGGGGGAUCGCAAGACCUCUCGCUAUCAGAUGAGCCCAUGUCAGAUUAGCUUGUUGGUGAGGUAAAGGCUCACCAAGGCGACGAUCUGUAACUGGUCUGAGAGGAUGAUCAGUCACACUGGGACUGAGACACGGUCCAGACUCCUACGGGAGGCAGCAGUGGGGAAUAUUGGACAAUGGGGGCAACCCUGAUCCAGCCAUGCCGCGUGUGUGAAGAAGGCCUUAGGGUUGUAAAGCACUUUCAGUGGGGAGAAAGGUGAUUCACCUAAUACGUGAGUCAAUUGAUGCUACCCACAGAAGAAGCACCGGCUAACUCCGUGCCAGCCGCCGCCGUAA